rnacentral:tRNA from 1 species
GUGGUGGCUCAGUUGUAGACUGCUUGCCUAGCAUGUGUGAGGCCCUGGGUUCAAUUCUCAGCACCACA